GGGUGAAUCUGGAGUUGGUUUUGUGCCCCUGCCUCAAGAAGGAUUGCCUGGAUUUAGAGGAGUGAAGAGUGCUGGAGAGUGCUGGUUGACUGAGAGUCUCUGCCCUUACGGGAACAAUCCUGAUGUGACACUCAGACAGACAGACUGCCAGCGGCUGAUACAGGCUACAUUCCAUUCCAGCAGCUCUUCCCUUCAAGCCCUAGCUAAUCUGAAGAAAAAGCUUACAGGCCACACAGAGGGGAAAAAAGAUUUCCCCCAGAGUCUGGGCUUGGUGCUUUGCAGUGCUGGCGACCUAUUCCCUUUGACGAUCCCUAGGUGGAGAUGGGGCAUGAGGAUCCUCCAGGGGAAUAGCUCACCGCCACUGGGCAACAGGCCUAGCCCCGAUUUCAGUGAGACACUUUCCAGAACCCAGCAAGGAAGACAAAGGCUCAAAGACAGCUAGCCACCCUACAUCAAAAUAGGACAAAAGCUGCCACAAUAGUGGCACCGACCUCAGGAGGAAGCCAUUCUGCUCUAUUUGGUUCUCCCUGGAAGCUAGGAGAAUGUGGCCAGCUGUUUACACACUUCAAGAUGCACUCUGCUACCCUACCUGUAAUACACAA
rnacentral:lncRNA from 14 species